rnacentral:rRNA from 1 species
GUUAAAAAGCUCGUAGUCGGAUUUACGAAUCGAGACUUGAAUUAUUUAAAUUCUAUGUUUCUUUUCUUCAUUGGUACGAAUCUACAUCUGAUUUAUUUCCGGUGUUGCCUAGUGCCUCUUUUACUUUGAGAAAAUUAGAGUGUUCAAAGCAGGUCAUCGCCUGAAUAUUACUCUUGGAAUAAUGAUAUAGGACUUUGGUUCUAAUUUGUUGGUGUAUUAGGACCGGAGUAAUGAUUGAUAAGGACGGUUGGGGUCAUUCAUACCUGCAAAGCGAGAGGUGAAAUUCUUGGACCUUUGUAUGAUGAACAACUGCGA